rnacentral:lncRNA from 1 species
UAGCAGAUGGUUGGCAUUUUAAAUACAUCACUUUUAAGCAUCUUGUAGCAUAAGACUACAGUCUGCAGUGUUUCAGCCUCGUUAGCUUAGUCAACCAUUUUGUGUUCCAUAUUUGAGGAAGGCCUUAUCAUUUACUUGACCUAUGGUCAGUCUUGGGGUGGAAGUGGCAUAAGGGUCUAAAUGAGAGACAAUUACUAGUGCCAGUUAUAGUAUUUAUACUUUGAGGAUUUUGGAUGGUCUUCAUGGUGUAUCCUUUAUAAAUGUUGAAAUCUAUCCCACUUGAACCUCCACCCAACUCAGUUUUCCCAUACUCAUUGCAGAACUGACCCAACUUUCACAGAAAUAAGCACACAUAGACCAUUAAUAUUUAAAGUUUUUACUACUUGUAAGUACAUGAAAUACAGAAAUUAACAAUAUUAACAAACAUCAGAGAAGUUACAGAAUUACAAGAGAUCAUAAAAGGACUAGUAAAUAGUUCCCUGGUCAUCAUUCAGUUACACUGAGGGCGUGUUCUGAUUUAUAGCCUCUUCUCCUAACUCCCUUCUUCAGGGUUCACUCAUGGGAACUGCUGACCAAUCUUAGCUGGGUUGGGUGCUAGACUAGGCUACUCAGACUCUGGCACGAGGUAGAUUCAUGUUGGCACCAUUGCUGAGUCUGAAUCCCAGGAUGUUCCCUUUGAUCCAGUGGAACUGUUUGUGUUGUACAGCCACUUGGAUCUGUAACUGUAACCCUGGGUGGGAAGGAAGGCACUUUCCUAUCUGGACUCUGACAUUUCUCCUUUGAGCUUUUGGUAAUCUGUCUUUAAACUUAAUAACUUUGUUUAUUCCUUUGUAAAAUCCUCUCAACUUCCAUUUCCUUGUGGUUUCACUUUAUUCUCUGGUCUUCUGAUAUAUAUGCUAGACAGUAUUUAAACUUUCUGUUCUCUCAAGUAAAGCUAGUUUUGUUUGCUACUGUUCCAAAUUUAUAUCUGGGUCCAGCCUUAAUGCAGCUCUAUGUCUUUGCUAUCAUCCUGGGAGACUCUGUUUUUUCCAAUAGCCAUCUUUCAUUGCUUCAGAAUUCUUCCACAAUCACUGUACUUCUCACUAAACUUGUGUGUUAUUAAUUUUUAAGGGAUGCCAUUAAUUUACACUUAAUUACAAUAGGAAGCAAAUCUGAACCCAUUGAAAACUCCAGCCCUUCCCAGUUGAGAUUACUAGCUCCUCAGUAUAUACUCAAUACUAGCUCCUCAGGUGGACUCUGAUAUUAGAUAACUCAGGGGACCCACACCCCAGGGAAUGGGAUUAAAAGAAUAAGUACAGUUUUACAAUACCAAAAUACACAAAACAACGAUAUUGAAAUUACAGCAGUUACAUAUAGGGAAACAAUAGUAACAUUAAACACUUCCACCAAGAGAGGGAGAAUAGAUCAUCACCUCAGCUCUCUUCACUGAGAGGUAACUUCUUAAAACAGAUCUUACAUGUUAUUAGCCCAGAGGUUUGAAUGUUUGCUCUGCUGGCUAUGGACUAUUUGGCUUUUGUUUGUGAAAAUUUGGCAAUUAGAGAUGUUUCUUUAUGUUAGAUUUAGAGGGUUUUCUGAUCAGUGGCAUAAUGUGGCUAUAAACUCCAAUCUUGUUUCA